GGUGCGAGCCCGGGAGAGGACAAGAGUCCUUGCAGAUCCAUGGGAAAUGUGACCAGAUGGAAAGCAGGCCUCUGUGGGUAAUUAGCUUCUCCAGGGUUUCUCAAAGUUGAGUCCUGGAAAGAUUUUUUUAUCCUGGGGUGCUGGCCAAGCAUAUGGAUUCCUGGGUCCUACUCUAGACCUCCAGGAUUCGAUUCUUCAGGACUCAGUGCAGAAAUCUUGCAUUUUAAUACAGCUUCUUGAGAGAUUCCCGUGCACCCUAGAGCAGCGCUUCCCAAGCUUGAGCAUGGUCAGAAUCACCCAGAGAGCUUGCCAGAUGCAGACCGCAGGGCCCCACGUCGGCAACCUCCCCUGAUUCCCUAAGUCUGGGGUGGCCCCUGCGGACUUGCGUUUCUGACGGUUUCCUUCAGAGGCUGCUGCUUAUGGUCCAGGGCCCCCACUUUGAGGAGCCCUGCCUUCGAGUCGCAAACCACUGAACUACAGGGUCGGCACUCAGGCAAGCAAAGUCCCGUUUGUCCACAAACACAUCUGGAGCCCCAGCUGGGGGCUGCACCUCCCGAUCUUCAGGCAUCACAGAGUCUGGGGGCCAAAACUUCACUCCCAGGCCCCCCAAGGAGCCUGAAGAUGUCACUCGAGCUCAUAGUGCCUGCAGGAGGCGUUUGUGGGGGGACUUGCCUCAGAGAAAGGAAGGGCCUAGACAGUGGUUCUCAGCUGCGUGAGAUUUUAAAAACACUCCUGUGCCUGGUGAGGAGAGUAAACCAGUUAGUCUAGACUCUCUGGGGGUGGGACUCAGGCACAUCAGGCUUUGUAAAGUUCCCCCGGGGAGUCCGAAGUGCAACCGGGGCAGAAAACCGCAUACAAAUGUUAUCGACCCUGAUUACCGUCAGACCCACCCAGGGAGGGGUGACAAGACACCACCGCCAGGCCGCACCCCUCCCUCCAGAUUCCCACUUCCUGAUUUGGGGCACAGCCCGGGCAUUGGCUGUAAAACAAAAGCCUGCAGGUGAUUCCCAGAGCGAGGGGACGUGGGGGCAGACCUGCUGGCCUGAGGCCUAGUGGAAAGGGACUCUCCGAAGGAGAUUUUAGGAAGGGUUAAGGGGGCAGAUGAGCCAGAGGUUGGGCCAGAUUCAUUUGGGUCACCACCAUCAAUGACAGUGGUGAAGCAAGCCACCACAACGUAAUGCAGCUCUGUGAAGUGUGAUCAAAACAAAUUUCUUGCCCUUCCCCCAGAGACAGCUGCAAACUGACUGUCUUCCUCGCUGGCCUGGGCAGGCAUUUGCUCAGGGUGGGGGAUAGAAAUGCUCUGCAGACUUCAGACCUGCCUCCCCUGGGAGAUGCAGAGAGGAGUGCCCCUGCCAGAUGUCAAGCCCCGUGCAACUGGCCUUCUACAGGGGCCAAGGAGGAAGCUCUGCUAGAAAUACUGCCUCGCCUGGGUUAUUUUUCUUUAUUAAAAUGCAGAUUCCUGGGUGCUAGUUCAGCCUUUUAACCUUGGAGGCCAGCGCUGUCCAAAAGAACUAUAAUGCGAGCCACACGUAUCAUUUAAAAUUUUCUGGAGCCACAUUAAAAGAAGAAAAUGAAACAGAUCUGGACUUGGUUGGUCUGGGAUGAAGCCUGAGAUUCUGCGUUUUCAAAGAACAUCGGGUAUGAUGAUGCUGCUGCUGCGUGGACGACACUUUGAGUAGCAAGGACGUGAACACACUAAUUCAUGCCUCGAAUGGUUGGCAAGCAACAUGGAAGGGGAUAAAGAUGGAAUUUCCCUAAGCCAUGGAGAGCUUUUGGCUUGAGUUCUUUCUAAGCUGUGGCAAUAAUUGUAGCUCAUUUCUAUUGUGCACCUACUCUGUGCCAGAGACUGUGUUCUGAGCUUUAUACUAAGGGUCUGCAAACUGUGGCUGCCCUCCAGAUAUGGCCACUUCCCGUUUUGGUAAAUAAAGUAUUAUUGGAAUCCAGCCACACCCAUUUGUUUACACAUUGUCACAGCCGCCUUCACGGUGCAACGGUAGAGUUGAAUAGUUGCAACAGAGACCAUAUGGUGUGCAAAGCCUAAAAUAUUUACCAUCUGGCCCUCUACAGAAACAUUUUGCCAACCCCUUGCACAUCAUCUCAUUUAAUUCUCAUCGCAUUAUCCAGGGGGCUAAGUCCUGUUACUGUCCCCUUUUACAAAUGAACCAACAGAGGCUUAGAAUCUUCGAGGCACUUGCCCAAGGUGCAGUCAAAGGGACAGAGCUGGUCCUCAUGCCCAGGCUGACUUAGACCAGAG
ensembl:lncRNA